rnacentral:rRNA from 1 species
AGUGAACGCUGGCGGUAGGCCUAACACAUGCAAGUCGAACGGCAGCACAGUAAGAGCUUGCUCUGACGGGUGGCGAGUGGCGGACGGGUGAGGAAUACAUCGGAAUCUACUUUUUCGUGGGGGAUAACGUAGGGAAACUUACGCUAAUACCGCAUACGACCUACGGGGGAAAGCAGUGGAUCGUCGGACCUUGCGCGAUUGAAUGAGCCGAUGUCGGAUUAGCUAGUUGGCGGGGUAAAGGCCCACCAAGGCGACGAUCCGUAGCUGGUCUGAGAGGAUGGUCAGCCACCCUGGAACUUGGCCACGGUCCAGACUCCUGCGGGAGGCAGCAGUGGGGAAUAUUGGACAAUGGGCGCAAGCCUGACCCAGCCAUACCGCGUGGGUGAAGACGGCCUUCGGGUUGUAAAGCCCUUUUGUUGGGAAAGAACAGCAGCAGGUUAAUACCCCGCUGUUCUGACGGUACCCAAAGAAUAAGCACCGGCUAACUUCGUG